rnacentral:rRNA from 1 species
AGAGCGAACGCUGGCGGCAGGCCUAACACAUGCAAGUCGAGCGCCCCGCAAGGGGAGCGGCAGACGGGAGAGUAACACGUGGGAACGUACCCUUCAGUUCGGAACAACCCAGGGAAACUUGGGCUAAUACCGAAUACGUCCGUAAGGAGAAAGAUUUAUCGCUGAAGGAUCGGCCCGCGUCUGAUUAGCUAGUUGGUGAGGUAACGGCUCACCAAGGCUACGAUCAGUAGCUGGUCUGAGAGGAUGAUCAGCCUCACUGGGACUGAGACACGGCCCAGACUCCUACGGGAGGCAGCAGUGGGGAAUAUUGGACAAUGGCGCAAGCCUGAUCCAGCCAUGCCGCGUGGAUGAUGAAGGCCUUAGGGUUGUAAAAGUCCUUUCGACGGGGAAGAUAAAUGACGGUACCCGUAGAAGAAGCCCGGCUAAACUUCGUGCCAGCAGCCGC